rnacentral:rRNA from 1 species
GAUGAACGCUGGCGGCGUGCUUAACACAUGCAAGUCGAACGAAGCACUUUAUUUGAUUUCCUUCGGGACUGAUUAUUUUGUGACUGAGUGGCGGACGGGUGAGUAACGCGUGGGUAACCUGCCUUGUACAGGGGGAUAACAGUUGGAAACGGCUGCUAAUACCGCAUAAGCGCACAGCAUCGCAUGAUGCAGUGUGAAAAACUCCGGUGGUAUAAGAUGGACCCGCGUUGGAUUAGCUAGUUGGUGCGGUAACGGCCCACCAAGGCGACGAUCCAUAGCCGACCUGAGAGGGUGACCGGACACAUUGGGACUGAGACACGGCCCAAACUCCUACGGGAGGCAGCAGUGGGGAAUAUUGCACAAUGGGCGAAAGCCUGAUGCAGCGACGCCGCGUGAGCGAAGAAGUAUUUCGGUAUGUAAAGCUCUAUAAGCAGGGAAGAUAAUGACGGUACCUGACUAAGAAGCACCGGCUAAAUACGUG